AUACGUAGGGGGCAAGCGUUGUCCGGAUUUGCUGGGCGUAAAGGGCGUGCAGGCGGUCCUGCAAGUCCGGCGUGAAAGAACCCGGCCCAACCGGGGGGACGCGCCGGAAACUGCAGGGCUUGAGUACAGGAGGGGAUGCCGGAAUUCCAGGUGUAGGGGUGAAAUCUGUAGAUAUCACGAAGAACUCCGAUCGCGAAGGCAGCCUUCCGGCCCGUCAACGACGCUCAUGCUCGAAGGUGCGGGUAUCAAACAGGAUUAGAUACCCUGGUAGUCCGCACAGUAAACGAUGGACACCCGCGGUUUGGCCUGUAUGGCUGAGCCGCCAAGCGAAAGCGUUAAGUGUCCCACCUGGGGAGUACGCCGGCAACGGUGAAACUCAAAGGAAUUGACGGGG
rnacentral:rRNA from 1 species